CAGCACCUCAAGUGGUCAGGAUGAUUAUUGGGCCUAAAGCAUCCGUAGCCGGCUCUGUAAGUUUUCGGUUAAAUCUGUACGCUCAACGUACAGGCUGCCGGGAAUACUGCAGAGCUAGGGAGUGGGAGAGGUAGACGGUACUCGGUAGGAAGGGGUAAAAUUCUUUGAUCUAUUGAUGACCACCUGUGGCGAAGGCGGUCUACCAGAACACGUCCGACGGUGAGGGAUGAAAGCUGGGGGAGCAAACCGGAUUAGAUACCCGUGUAGUCC
rnacentral:rRNA from 1 species